UUUAAUGUUUUUCAUCUUCAUGGAAUUUUACUUUUGAAGAACAACUCACCUUUUAAGCACACUUUUGAUAAUUUAAAACGCUUAUAAUUUCUCUUCUUCAUCUAUUUAAUCCCUCAACCAUCUAUUACUGUCGGGUUUUGUUCUUUAUAACAACUCACCUUUUAAGCACACUUUUGAUAAUUUAAAACGCUUAUAAUUUCUCUUCUUCAUCUAUUUAAUCCCUCAACCAUCUAUUACUGUCGGGUUUUGUUCUUUAUGAGUAGCAAUUGAAGUCUGGGUGUAGCGACAAGAAAGGUUGGGUCUUUGUGAGUAGCGAUUGGAAUCGGAUCCAUCCAGGUCUAUAUUUCUUGCUUUCAAUUCACAUACAUAUUUUCUUAGGGUUUCUUACCAUUUUUUUUUGGUGUUACAAGGCUCAGGUUUGUUAUCAUGAUGGAGUAUAUUUUUUAUUGUAGGAUUUGUUAGUAUGAAAUAGCCUUACUAUAUUCGUUCUUUAUCUUAUCUGAUUACGUUUUACUUGUAAUUUUGCGACUCUAGCAUAUUGCUGGACGCCUAGAGCGAGAGGGGACUUCUACCGAUCGGGGUAUGAGGGGUCAAAUACAGUCAGAUUCAAUGCAGAUAGGACUUGCUAUGCAACAUUUGGGUGUCGAACAAUAUUGACACUGCGUAUGGGACAAUCUUAUGUAUGUUUUGAUUAUUUUCUUAAGUGAUAUGGCUUACUUCAUUGUGUCAAAAUAUUGUUCAUGAUCAUAUUCCAAUUUCAGGCAGUAUCAGUUGUGAAUGUUGGACCAGCAAUUUAUAUUUCUCCAUCAGGGCCAAAUCCUAUAAUGGUGCAGGUUCGUCAUUUAUUUUGAACUAUUCACAUUAGCUGAUGUUUCAAUCAAGUAUUCAAGUUGAUUAACAUGCCAUAAACUGAAAUGUGAAAAUUAUGCAAGAUUAGCUUGGUUUAACUGCAAUUAGAUUGUUAGCAGCACAUUGAAGAUUGAAAGAAACACAGCUGAUAAC
rnacentral:lncRNA from 1 species